UUUUUUUUUUUUUGUUUUAGAAAUCAAAUUAAAAAUCAAUUAAAUAAUCUGAUACAUAUUAGAUUGAAUAAUUUUCAUUUGAUUUGUAUUAAUAAUUUGAUUGAUUAAUUGAAUCUAUUAAUUGUUGAAAUUUGAAUUUGAAUGAAAAGAGAAAUUGUUUGGUUGUUGGAUUUGUGAUUUGACUUUUUAUCUUUUCUACUUUCUUUUUCUCAAAUAGGUUGCAUUGUUUAAUUUUUUUAUUUACGAUUUUAUUUUUUAAACUUCCAAAUUUAAUUUAAAUGAGGAAAAUAUUAAAUAUUGAAUACAAUUAAAUAUGUGUCAUCUUAAUUAUCGAUUUAGGUUGUAAUAUAUAUUGAAAAUUUCAGAUAAAACUUAUAUUAUUUGAUUUGACUUCGAAAGUUAGAGAUGACAAUAAUUCAACAAAUGGAAUAAGUAAGACCUCUUGGACAAAACCAAAAUUAUGAAGUAAAAAAAGCAAAGAACGAGAUAUCAAUAACAAUGAUACUCAUUUUGAAGAUGGAAUAUUCAAGAAAAACACAUUUGAUAACUUUUGCAUAGAAUUUAUCCAACCUGAGAGACAUAUCAUGGACAGAACAUAGACUAAAAAACACAAAAAAAAAUAAUAUAGGAAAUAAAGAUUCAUUUGAAACAGGGAAUUUAAUUUUCAAGAGAAACAAAAAAGAACAUUCUAUUUAUAAGAAAACAAUAAUAACAUUACUCAAUGAUGAAUUAGUACAUUAGCACUAAAUAAUUAGGUACAAAAAAGUGUUUAUUUUUUUUUCUUUUUAUUAUUCCAUUUUGUUGGGAUGUAUAAAAGCAAGUGGGUUGAUGUGGAACAUCAUGUGAAUUUAAAAAAAGUAGAAAUGCUGGUAGAAAUGUAUUUUGUUUCUUCUUAUCACUCCUAAAAACUUUUAUAACUUUGUCAUAUUUAUUUUUUACUUCAUUAAAGGAAAAACACAAAAGAUAGAAAAAAAAAAUCAUUUCAAUAAUCCAAAUAUAAUGAGACUAUUUUCAUCAAAAUGUAAUGAAAUAUCAAAAUCUAAAAAAUAUUGUUGAAUUAGGACUCUAUAUGCCUUAAUGACUUUUAGAAUAAACAAACUUACAUUUCUUUUCUCAUUGAAAGAAAAUAUAUUAUGUUUCUUUAGUUGACAUGAUUCUAGGACUUGAAGUUUGUUAUAGAUUAGGAAAUAUCAUCUUUAAUUUGGAUAGGUGUGGAUGAUCCCACUAGUGUAAAAAAGAUGAUUUAGCUUGGCCUAAUAUGUUUCAAUUUCAAGAAAAACAAAACAUUUAUAAAAAACAAUGAUAUUUUUUAAAGAUUUUUCCCCUGAGUGUCAAAGUAAAUGCUUCGGUUUUAGGUUAAACCAAAACCUAUAUCCUAACGACAUGAGUAUAAGCUUUGGUUAUUUAAAUGAACUGAAGCCUAUACUCAUGCAACCAUGGUGUAGACUUUGGUUUUACAUAUAACUGAAACAUAUACUCAUCUUCAUAAGAUUAAUUUAUGAAUUUUUAUAACCCGUGAAAGGUCAUGUUCAUUAGUGUUGUUGCAUUCUUCUCCUUCGUCACUACAAACUCGUUUUUUGUCAUCAUUAUCAUUUAUCUUUCUUCUCAUUUCUCGUUUAUUUCUUUCUUUCCUUCUUGUUUUCAUCUUCCUUCUCCUAAUGUUGUUUUUCUUCUUGUUUUGGUGUCCAUGUUGCAGUUUGGUGGCCAUUGGGGUGUUGUAGCAUUGCAUGUUCGUCUUGGUCUUGGACUUGGUCUGUUGCGUUUGAAGCGUGAUGACAUUGUUAUUGUCUUUGUUGUUGGUUCAUGUUUGAGUAGUUAGUCUUGGUCACUCUCACUCUUGCCCUCACUCUCAUUUCCAAGUUCCUUCAUGCCAAAUAUUUUUAAUUAUUUGAAACAUUAUUUUAUAUAUGUUGUUUAAUGUAAUUAUUGUAUGUUUAAUAUGUUGAUUUUUUUAAAUUUUGGCUAAUUAAAUGCUUAUAUAUUUAUUCGAGAUUGUUAUAGCAUUAGUUAGCCUUAAAUUUCCAUUUGAGAUUUAAUAUGAUUUUUUUUAUUGUCUCCAAAGAUGACACAAUACUAAUAAUUUAUAUGUCUUGAAUUUUCAAUUGUCAGGUUGUACAAUUUAAGAUUAAUCACUUUUUAAUAGUUCAUGAGUGCAUUAUUAACGUCUCUCUUUACAGAAUAUAAGUCGUCUCCACAUAGGCACCAAUUAUUCUUACAGAGUCUGUUGAGAUUGUUGAUAAGGGAAGCACCGGGUUAUCUAACCUUAAUCUCACAGUCACUUUGGUUUUUGAUGAUGAUAACACAUUAUUAAUAACACAUGUAUUAUUUUGUGUUACAUGUUCUAUUCCUCAUUAUGGAUGAUAUCUUAUUGAACAUGUUUGUGUUGAUCUUGAUAUAUGAAUGCACUUACCGAGCUUAUAUCUGAUACAUCAUUUAUGAUUUCAUUACAUAUGUUUUUGAAGAGAAAACCACAUGCACUUUUAUGAACUUAUAUUGUAUGGUAUAACUGCAAGUUUUAAGUCAACUUCAUUAUGAAGUAAGUCGAUUAAAACUCGUGACUAUGCACAAACUUUCAAAAGCAGUGUUGUGAGUGAUUUUGCAUUGAAAAGAUUUUCAAAUAUAGCUGAUGUGCCUAAGUUGACUACAUGCGCAGUGGAUCCGACUUAGUUAGUUCUUUGAUUUGAAAUUCUGUUAUGCUUGUGUACAGUAACAGUUAUAUUUUAAAAAUUAGUUAAAGCAUUGAUGAUAGUCAACUAUAUUAAAUGCAAAAUCCAUUUGGUUGCUGUUGGCUGCUACUAUUUGACUUAACUGUUAUAACUGUCUAAUGACAAUCGACUUUAUUAAUAGCCUAGUCGACUAUAGGAGCGUCUGAUUUAUAGAAAACUAUAAAUAGAAAACUAUAAAUAGACGUAACUCAGUUGAUCACUGGGACUUUGGUUAUUCUUACACUUUCAUUUUGAUUUACAGAUUGUGAUCUCUGAAAAUUUGCUCCAAGAACUCAUCAAGAAGACGGUGGUGAUCUAUCUUUGAGGAGGUUCUUUGAAGGAGAUUUUUACUGAGCUUACUGUUUGAUCAGAUUCUAACUGGUGUAUUCUUGUUGAUCAAGACUGCCUUCAAUCUACUAGAGAUUGGUUUUUCCUGUUGGGAUUACAGGAGGUUGACUCGUGGAGUCUGUACACUUUGAGGAUUGUUCAAAGUGGGUUAAAGAUUGUAGAAGAGGGGAUAUCUUGUUGCAGAUCUUUAUUGUGUUUACUGCCUAUAUUUUGGUUAGAGGGUUAGAGAGGUGUUUUAUAUUUUUGACGUGGAGGUCUCUAUAAAAGCCUUGUUGUAAAAACCUUGACCAUUAUAGUGCAUUUGCUUCCGGAUUUUGGAAGGACACUGGAUGUAGGCAUUGAGGCUGAACUAGUAUAAAAAUUUGAGUUUGAUCUCUCUAUCCUCACUCUUUUACAUUCAGUCGACUUACCUGUUAACAUUGAAACUCAACAUUCACAACAUUUUAGAACAAUAUAAAAUUCAUGAGAUAAGAAUGAAAAUAAUGUAACAUAGCAAAUACAAUCAUGCAAUUUCAAUUUAGGUCACCAUACCUUCGCCUUAGCUUUCUUUUCCUGCUCAAGUCUUCUUUGUACACUAUCUUCCUCCCCUUCUCGCCACAAUUAUAACUCCUUUAAAAACUCACCCUAACACAUGAAAUAAAAGUGUAUUUAGGUUUGUUCAUUAUAGUAGUUGGAAAAUAAGCAAACACUAAUUGGAAAAUAAAUUAUGCACUAGAGAAAGUGAUGCACAAGCAUAUUAAAUUGGCUUAGAAUUGUUGCACCAAACUAAAAGUUUAAGUCACACCAAUGCAUUCAGAACAUCAUUUCUAAAUUGGCUUAGAUUAGAAUUUGAAAAUAAGUGCAAUAUCCAAUUUUAAAAGCUCAAGUAAAUGUUGUGGCAACUUUCAAUAAGCUGCAUAAUUGAAUAAUAAGCACUUAACAAACUGGAAUAAUAAGCACUUAACAAGCUUGUAUUGAUUUAACAAGAAAGUAAACUGGGUUAUACUCCUUUUGGUGAGAUUACUGCCAUUAUAGCAGAACUUUGUUCUACAACCUAUAAAGAGGAAGUUUUCAUGAUUUGAGGUUAGUUUGUAGCACUCUUUCAGAAUUUAUAAAUUGUUUACAAGGUCAGCUUACUGCUUAAAUGAGUUAGGUAUUAAUUUUUAGUCCUUGUAGUAUAACUAUAGUUUUGUCCAAUCUAAAAGCUAGGGUAUGGUUAAGCUGCAGGUAUUAUAAAAUAUUGUUGAAGUUUCAUAUUUCUUAACCGUGCACAAAGAAGCUCCCAUUUACUUGAGAACAAAGUUGGGCUUUAGCCCUAUAAAGUAAUUGUUGUAAAUCUCAACUAGUUAAAGUAAUUGUUGACAAUCACAAUUUUAUGGUUCCAACAACUUUUCUUUAUGAAAUAUGAGUUGUAGAAGCUGCCAGCACAUGCUAAAUAUGAUUAAUUCAAAUUAUCACUGGUUUAGUUGCUCUUUAACACCAAUUUUAACCAUUUUCACCUAACCAAAUUCAAGCAUAAGAAUCAAAUUGGACUGUAAUCAUGUAAUCUGACUCUAGGACAACAAUUGAGAUGUGAACAAGACUCUAGGAGUGAUAUAAAAGAUGUCCAGAGGUGUUGUUGAUUUCUCUUUUAUCCUAGGUUGUGUUGUCUAUGUUUCAUCCUUAACAAGACUCUUUUACUUCCAAGUCAAUUUCAGUAGUUUGUUUACUUUUUAUUAGUCUUCUAAAGUUGCCUACAUAACAGUUAUACUAUAACCACUAACAUAACAAUUAAGUUCUUUUUCAAUCUCAAAGAAAAUGCUUAUCAUGAAAAUAGUUUAAAAAAUCUGAGAAAAAAACUAUGUGAUAGAAGGAAAUCUAAUCCAGCUUAUAUUUGCAGAUCCCAAUUGUUUCUCUAGCUAAAGCAGUUGAAUUGGCUUUUAAGUACUAUAAAGAAGGGUUUAGGACUUUAAAGCUGAAGGUGGGAAAAAUUUUGGUCGUGAUAGACUGUCCAAAAUUUAUCAUACAUUUUCAACACUUGAUGCAACACUUGAUGCCAUAUUGUAAAUUUAUCACGAGUGCAUCAACUCCUUCAAUGUGCAUAGAUUGUUGAUCACGAGUGUCAUGGUAGCUACCAAAUUCAUGGAUGACAUGUCAGUCUCUCUUUCUCUCAUUUAUCUCACCACUCAAAACUUUCUUCACUUCAACAAAAUCUACUUUCCUACAUGAUCACAUGAAUGGAGAAUUACCCUUUGAUGAGAUCGGAAAAAUCUUUCAUUUUUUAAGUUGGGAGAUGUUCUUGGUGGAAACUAAAAAAGAAAAAACUAGAUUUUCAUAUUCUGGGUUUUAUCAGUUUUCUAAAUUUUGAAUGUUUGUGUAUCUGUAAUAACUGCUGAUGAAAUCUUUGGUUGUUUAUAAGCUAGGAAAGUUAUUAGAAGGGAAUGUUUUUCGUAUUUUUUCUGAGUUAGAUGCAAUACUUAAGGAUCAAUUUUUCAUUCAAAACUUUGAAAAGAGGUUUUUGAAAAAGAAAACAACUGGUAAAUAUUGCAUGAUCAUGGUGGAGGUGCCUAAUUUUUUUAAAAUGUUAGAAAAAUUGUCUCAAUUUUCUUGAUAGACUUCCAAAAACUGUUUUUCUGAAUUCUGAAACUUAGAGACAUAAUUUUAAGUUAACAAAUGAUGAAUGAUCUUGGUCUUACUUCUUUAUUCUAAUUUCUUAGUUUUUUCCUGUAAAUUACAGUUAUCUGCAGAAAAAUGAAAGUUCUUGAAAGCCCAGAUUGUGAAUUGUAUUUUACCCAAAAAAGAUUAUAUCUUUUUCCUUUUGGGUGCGUUUUUUAAUCUUGUAUGAUCCCCUCUGACGGAAAGUUUUGUGUUUAUGAUAAUAAUAUUUCCUUAAAGAAUAUAACGUUGCUUGUGAAAAAUACUAUGGCCAGUUGGCUUUCCAUUGAUAAGAGACAAUCACCCAUGUGAUCCCAUUAGUUUACUGCACAUAUCCAGCAAAUAUCUCUUAUUUAAUUAUAUACAUAUACAGGUAAAUAAAUAUUGUGUUAAUGAAAAUGAAUCUUCAUAAUUUUUAAUAAAUUUUAACUUUAAUUCAAUUUAAACAGAAUUUAUAUGAAGACUGAGAAAGAUAUUUUAUGCCAUUGAUGAUUUUCAGGUACUGCAACAAUGCAUACUAUAAGAAAGUUGGGGGAAUCAGCAAAAGAGACAUGAAUGUUCUUAGGUUUUCACAUGAAUGUGAGCCCAAGAAGCUUUGAAGCCUACUGUGUUCAUCUUCAAAGAGAAAUGGUGCUGAUACAACCUCUGAGUUUUGUAGGAAAAUCAUUAAAAACUUAUUUGUGCUUCAAUGAAGAUGAAUCUUCUCAUCAAAACUCACUAACUUAACUUCUUUCUUGAUCUCUUCUCAUUUUUUUUUUAUUCUCUAAAAUUGCAACUCCACACCUUUAAAUCAAUAUUGUGUUUGGUAUCAACAUUGCUCUUAAAUUCUUCUUUUUCUUCUUCGAAUUCUAUCUCCUCAAUUCUCGAGGUACGUUUCUAAUCCAAAUCUUCAAUUUAGUUUGAUUUUAAUCUUAUAAUCACUUCUAUUUUAUAUUCAUGUCAAUAUUAUAUUAUUCAUGUCAAAUUACUUUUCAAAUCUUCAAUUAAGCCACCAUCAGCUUCCUUUACUACCAGCUUAGCCCCAAAACUCAUUUUCAAACCUCAUCCUCAGCACAUACCAUUACAAGUCCUAACUCGUCCUUCUUCCACAGUGAAGCCACUUGCAGAGAGGGGCCCUGUGACCACAACUAAUUUUACCCAUGUUACUGGCCCAUUCUCCCCUUAUCUUUCUCCUCCAUCAGGUACUCCAUUAUCAAAAAUCACCACCACCAUUACUAUUAACCUCAAUGAGCCCCUCUCACCCUAGACUACUGCUGCUUGCAUACCAUAGCUCAUAUAUAUUUUAAAGAAGUCAAAAAAUAUUCAUAGCUAGAUAAAGACAGCCAAAUGCCAAAAGAAAGAACUGACCUUAACGGCAGCGAAGCCCUUCUCACGAAGCUCUAAUACCCUCUCACGCGAAGCCCUUAUCACGUAGUAAAAGCCACUUCGUCACACGCCUUCCUCGCCAGCUAGAAGCUUUUCCCACGUCGCGACACCACCCUCUAACACCACCUCCUCAUGCCGCCAAACCACCGUCGUAUUGAGGAGCUCCACAAUGUCAAAAACAGUGGCUGGAGAAAGAAAGGCGGGGUAGAGUGCAGAGAAUUUGGGAGUGAAAGUUGGGGUUUUUUUAUGCUGAGGAGAGAAUUGGGGAAAAUGGAAGUCUAACAUCCCAAAUUCUGAUUUCAUUAAGUGCAUGAAUAUAUCGACGGGCAACGAAGCCUUCGAUAAAAUCUUUGCCUAUUACCGAAGGGCAUAAGCCCUCUAACGUGAUAAAAUCGCUACCCAUUACCGACGGGCUAAAGCCUUCAGUAUAUUCCCUUUACUGAAGGCCCAUAAGCCUUCGGUAAUAAUCCUUCGGUAAUUAGCUUCUUUCUUACGUAGUCUACUUUGUAAUUCCGCUGCACUUAGAAUUUUCAUUCCUUGUGAUUCAAGAAAUUUUGUAAAGGUUUAUACUUUGUGAAAAAGAUUUCAAAAAGACUUUGAUUUUGAAAACUCACCAAUUCAACCCCCCUCUUGGUGUUAAAACGAAGCCAACCUGAUUUCCAACAAAGCCAAAUAUAUCUUACGAAGACUUUGACAAACAUUCAAAGCGCUCCAAGCCUUCUUUGUCCUUUUUAAGACUACUUGUCCUUUGUUAGUUGGACAAAGGAUUGUGCCUGUAGAAGAAAUUUGACCUUCAAGUCAGCCUGCUACGUCAAAAGGUAAUUAAUGUUAUAAUAAUGAACUUAAUUAAUGUACUUCAUAAAAUGUGUUAUUUAUACUUACUAUUUAUUGAGCUUUACCUGGAUGUAAAGCUGCCAAAAUUGGUUAAAACCCGCAAGCCAACCCAACCCACCACGGGUUUGAACCUAGUUUGAAUUAAAAAAAAUUACAUAUUUUGACACGAGCCAAAGAUGAACCCAAUCCACUAAGAACCCAACUCACCUAGGUUUAACCUGUGGUGAGCCGGGUUGGCUCACUAACCCACCCAUAAAUUCUAAAUAUUAAAUUAUAUUAAAAAAACAAAAAACCCUAAAUGUUCUCUUAUGUAAAUGUAUUUGGAUUGUAUUAUAUUUUUGUGAUUUUGGAUUGUAUUUGGAGUUUAACAUCAUUUUGAAUUGUAUUUUGAUUAAGCUUUAUUUAGAUUUCAAUUAGGAAAAAAUUGUAUUUUUUUUAGAUUGAAGAAAAAAUAUUUGUAAUUAAGUGUGUCAACCCGUUUAACUUACCAACUCGUGGUGGGUUGGGUCAAGUUCAAAAUUUUUGAAUGAGAGUUGUUCCCUACACCACCACAGAUUUCUUCCUGCACCACCCAUUCCACAAUUGCCCUUCAAUGAAAAUUGAACUACCGUGGUUAAAACGUUAAAAGAAAAUAAAUAGAAAUGGAAGAUCCAUUGAAACUUCAAUGGACAUCAACAUCCGUUGACGGAUAUCAACAUCCGUUGAAGGCCAAACAAAUAUGGGAUAUUCGUUAGGCCUUCAACGGAUAUCCAUAUCCGUCAACGGAUAUCCAUGUCCGUUGAAGGUUGAACUAAUUUUCACAUCCAUUUUGGCCUUAACGGUUCUCACUGUUGUAGCAAGUUCAACUUCCAUCUGCUCAGCUUGGAGCUCUUUAGAGUACAGUUUCUCUCUUAAUAAGCUCGUCAACAAACAUUUUGCUUUAAGUUCAAUUCUUAAAUUAUCCUAUACAAGUAUAAACAUGAUCGACAUGAAUUUUCAAUGAAUAGAUUAUGUAAAACAUAUUUAAAAUAAAUCAACAUGUAGACAGUAAAACUGAGGUUUCAAAAUUUAAUUCCAUUAAGUAAAACUUUCUUUGAAAUUUGCCUCAAAUAAUUGAUCAUUUAUUGUAGCUAGCUUACUAGCCUAUGUACACUCUGAUUGAAAUUUGGAAGUCAAUGGAUUUGACUUAUCUUUCAACAAAGAAGACAUUGUCUGCAAACUCCUUACUAAACCCUCAGUGCCACUUUUGAGCCCCUGAAUUUUAGUUUCAGAUUCAAUAAUAAAUUGCCUAUCUAAACCAUUUCCAAUCACUUCUUGAUCCAACUGGACAUUUUGGUGAAGAUGGUUUCCUUUACCUUUAACGAAUUCCAGUAUUUUUAAACAAAAGUAUGUGCUUUCAUUUAACAUUAUUAGGCCUUGAUUCUGAAGGUAGUAGAUACGGGAACGGAAAAAAGGGGGUGGGGGUGGUGGGUGACAGAAAUGGGAAAAAGAAGAAGAAGAUAGAGGGGAGUGGGUGUGAUGUGCGCUGGAAUGAGAGUAUAAAAUUAGGGUUUUUAACUAAAAGUAUAAAAAUUUAAUGGUAAAAGUAAAAACAUUUAACCUAAAAAUAUUUUUGGAAAAAGAAAUAAAUUGGGGAGGUGCAGGAAAAAGGAUGUGGUGGUGGAGGGAGUAACUUUCUUUUUGAAUUCGUUAAUAAGUGAGUCGGGUUGGGUUGAAUCAUUAAGUAGUCAAUCCAUGGUAGAUCGGGUCAAGUGACCCGUUUUGAUAGCUCUACGAGUGUUGCUCCCUCCACCACCUCACAUGCUUCCUCUACCUCCCCAAUUUUUUUAAUUCCAAUUUUAUUAUUGGAUUAAAUUUUUUUUACUUUUACCAUUUAGAAAAUUUUAAUCUAUUUGAAACCCUACUCCUUAUUUACUCACUAGGCACCAGCACCCUCCCAAUCUCAUAGAUCUCACUUUCCCAUUUCUGUUUCACGUUCCUCUCCCACGCAGCUGCCUUCUCAUUUCCGUUUCUUAUUUUUCUUUUUUCUUCAUUUGUUUCUUUCCCCAUUUUCCUUUUGGUUUUAUUACUCAUAAAAAUGGCACCAAUACACUAGCCCUAGUCCACAAAUGUUGAUUCCUUGUGAGUGAAAUUCAUCAAUCAUUCCAAAAGCAUCUUAUUUUAAAAAAUUAUUAUUCAUCACGGAAAUGAUUUGCAUGUCCAAAACACAAAACUUUGUUUGUAGCAUAAUUAAGAGAAACAAAUAUGAAUUCAUGAACUUUAAAGGUCAGAAAGGAUUAAUGGAACCAUAGUCGAAAUGAUAAUAGUAGUUAGUGUGGUACAAUUGGAGCUGUUGUCAACUAGAAAAUGGGACAAAUGAUUUCUGCAGUUCAAGAAAUAAGUACAAGUGAGACAUUAAUGGGAAGAGAGCGAUUAGUUAAAAUGAAGAAGAUUGGUUUGAAUGUGCAAACAGUAGUAAUGGAAGAAAGUGAAAUCUGUGAGAGAUGGGUGGGAUGUAGCUGCCAAACAAAAAUAAUAAUAACUAAAAUGAAAAAAAUGAAAAGAAAUCAUUGAAGGCAUGAACGAAAAUCAUUAUUCGUUGACGAAUAUGGGCAUUUGAAAGCACAAUGCAUCCUCAUUUUCGUUUGAGGCCUGCAACUAUUGUGAUAUCCUUUGAUCUUCAAUUUUGGAAGAAAGUUAUUUUAAGCUUACAACUUCAGGGCCAAUUCCAUGAAAUAAGAGCUUUCUGCAUGCUCUGCAGCUGGUUCUAUAAGCAACCAUAGCCAAAGGCAAACACGAAUGAAAGAAACAAGAUAGGCAUUCCCCACGGCUUCUUCAAAUGAAGUCUCUACUUCAUGAAAGAAACUGAAGCCUCUAUUUCAAUAUGUGAAUUUACAGUGAACACACAAGCUUUAACCGAAAGAAGAAUAAUUGACAGAAAGGAGCACAGAGUCACAAUUCCAAAGUAAGGAUCGCGUGAGAAAGCAGGAGCAUCACAAACUGAAUAAACACCUGCAAAAUCAUCAGAAAAAAAUCCCAACAUGAGAUCUGCAAUACUCAGCAUGCACAAAUUAUAUAACCUCAUCAUAUAGGCACUAAAAAAAUAUAGAGAAACUUUAUCCAAAAGGGAGAAAAAAAACGUAAUCGGCGGAAUUUCUGACAAACAUAAACUCUAUGAUUUAAAGCAGAGCAACUGAACAUAAUAUAAUAGUUCAAGUUAAUAAAACUAAUAAAAUUUUAAUUAGAAUAAUAUAAACUAUAUGAUUAUUUAGAGAAGUAGGAGUUCUGAUGGAUGCAAAAAAUCACUUCAUGUUGCAUAGCUCUGACACUAUUAAUGUUGACGGUUUAAACAAUUUGCUCCACUCAAAUAAUAAACGAAAAAAAAAAUAAUACAGAAGCACCAACAAAUCAUAUGAACAAAAGAAGCACCAACAACCUGGGUUAGAGACCAAACAAAACGAAUAAAGAAAUAAUAGAGAAGAAACGAAAACAAAAAUGAGGGAAUGGGGAACAAAGGAAUAAGAGAGAAGAGGGAGGGGGAGAGAGUUAGAGUGUGGGGGUGUGUGGCUGAGUGAGUGAAUAAGAGAGAGAAAGGUAACAAACUAGGGUUUUAAGAAAAAGUGAAAAAAAAAGGUAUAUGGUAAAAGUAAAAAGAUAUUUCUCAAAUAAAAGAAAAUUGAGGAGGUGAAGAGAGAAGGUGGGGAGGUGUAGGGAAUAACACCCUAGCUCUACCUGAAUAAACUUGGGCCACGUGGUCUAAUUACCUAUUAAUAAAAUAAUCAUAAUUAAUUGUGAAUUUUUUUGGUUUAACUUAUAGAUUAAUGUGACUAAUAAUGUAAUUAGUAUGAUCUUCUCUUGACUGAGAAAGUGUGAGUCGAGUACAUAUCUAUUUAGUAGACUGAGCUGUAUUAGAUUAAAAUCAAGUUGUACACUGCUAUGACCGAAAGAUACUUAAACGUAUACGAUAUAAUAUAUUUUGUCAUAAAUAUUUUAAUUUUUUUAUAACAAAAAAUAAUAUCUCAAUUUGUUUUUUAGAAAAUACUUUAAGAAUAAGUUUGGCUAUAGACUUUAAAAUUAACUAAAAUAUUAAAUUUGAAUUUUUAUUAAUUCAAACGCUUUAUCUAUACCAAUUAUAAAUGUUGACAUUUGUUUUUCUAUUUUUAUUCUUUAAAUAUAAUUUUUAUAAAAUUAAAAUAAUUAUUUUAUCAACUCUACUAUUUCAAGUAACGAUAUUUUAAAUCUAAUCGUUUUAUUCGAUUUAACUAUUUUUUAAAUAUAAAAGUAGUUUCGAAAUAAAUAGAAAUUAUUUUAAAAAAUAUAAAAUUUAUUUAUAUUUAAUUUUAUAAUAAUAAUAACAAUAAUAAUUUGAUUAUUUUUUACCAGAAUUAAAAAAAAUAAACACACACAGCACAUGUAUUUUCACUAAUUUUAAUAUGCAAUUCUAAUAUAUUAAAUUUUAUUUUGUUUGGUUAAAUAAGGUAUUUCAACUACUAACAAAUAAUAACAUAUAUUAGUCCAAAUAAUUUAAUAAAUAUAAAACAUCAACUGGUAAUGUUUUUCGGUUGAUAUUAAUCAAAAUUAUUUUUCAACAAAAAAAAAUUAUCAGAAUUUUUUCUUUAUUGAUAAUAAGUGAAGUUAUUUUAGAAUGAUGUUAGCCAUAAUUUGAUUAACAUUAAUAAAGUAUGAUGUUAGCUAUAAUUUGAUUAGCAUUAAUCAAGUAUGAUCUAAACUUAAAUCAAUAUAAAAUUAAACUAAAAAAUAAUAAUCCUAUUAACAAUUAAUGAAAAUUCUAACAAGAUACAAAUCCCUAUAAGUUGAUAAAUUUAGCCUUGUCAAGUAAUAAAAUAACCUUUAUUGAAAAUGAACCAAAAAAAAACAUCAUUAAAAGUUAUAAUUGUCAGAAGUGGGAUUUGAACCCACGCCCUCUUUCGAAGACCAGAACUUGAGUCUGGCGCCUUAGACCACUCGGCCAUCCUGACUUUGACGUUAAAGUCAAGUGUAUUAUAAUAUUAAUAUAUGUUUUGAUAAAAAGUACAAUAGUAAUUAAAAAAGAAAAGGUUUUUCAUGCUGGUGACAGACAGAAGAAAAGUGUGAAAUUGUCCUUUUUGUGGUGCCUCUUCUCACAGCAUUCACCGCUCCGAUAAUCGUUGUGAGUUUUUAAUUUUGAUCAUGGUCUGUUACACCAUCAAAUUCUUCAAUUGAAAACCCUAAAUCACUAAGGCUAAUAUAGGACGUUGUUUCUCUAUAAAUUUCAACAUAUCUCACUGAGCACAAUUAAGUUAAAAAACUUAAUCUACAAUUUAUCUAUACUUUUGUAAACUUAAAAAAGUUAAACUACUUUUGCUAAAAACUAUUUAUACUCAUUAAUAGAUCAGUUUAAAAUUACUAAACUAUUUUUAUUUUGAGUUCAGUUUUCCUCCUUUUUCUCAAUCAGAGUUAGGUUUUCCUAUUUUCUUUCUCCAUUACAAUUUUCUAUUUUCCUAUUUCUUAUCUUCCUUGAAGGCCGCCGCACUAUUGUCGAAGACUCGCCGCAGAAGGCUUUGCCGCACUUUGCCAUCGCCACACUUUGCCGUCGCCGCACUUUGCCGUCGCCGCACUUUGCCGUCGCCGCACUCUGCCGUCGCCGAACGGUUGAAGGCUCUUCCACCAUAGUACACUUCUCGCUGGAAAGAGAAGCAAAUCCGCAACCCAAAGGUACGUUUUUCCCUUUCCCUUUCAAAAGAGAUUGAAAAACCUUGGCAUAGGAGCAGUGGAAGAACGAAGGAGAAGAGGGGGAGCAAAACAACGCCGUUGAGCGGGAGCUGGAGGAGGACGCACCUGAGCUCCCGAAGGAGUCGAUGGAGUUGCCGGCGGGGGGAGAGGGCGAGGGCGGGAGGC
rnacentral:lncRNA from 1 species